rnacentral:misc_RNA from 1 species
AGCAGCCGCGGUAAUUCCAGCUCCAAUAGCGUAUAUUAAAGUUGUUGCAGUUAAAAGCUCGUAGUUGAAUUUCGAGACCGGUCUACUGGUCGUGCUUUUGUACGUACUGGUAUAAUCGGUUUCUCUCUUCUGACGAACUAUAAUGCCAUUAAUUUGGUGUUUUAGGGAAUCAGGACUGUUACUUUGAAAAAUUAGAGUGUUUAAAGCAGGCUCACGCUUGAAUACAUUAGCAUGGAAUAACGAAAUAGGACGUUUGAUUCUAUUUUGUUGGUUUCUAGGAUCGACGUAAUGAUUAAUAGGGAUAGUUGGGGGCAUUAGUAUUCAAUUGUCAGAGGUGAAAUUCUUGGAUUUAUUGAAGACUAACUACUGCGAAAGCAUUUGCCAAGGAUGUUUUCAUUAAUCAAGAACGAAAGUUAGGGAUCGAAGACGAUCAGAUACCGUCGUAGUCUUAACCAUAAACUAUGCCGACUAGGGAUCGGAUGAUGUUAAAUUAAUGACUCAUUCGGCACCUUACGGAAAC